CUGGUCUUUUCCUCGGCGCGCGCGGAGGCUGUUAGGCGACGGUUGGGGGCGCGGGGCCGGCAGGCGCGCGCGGUGGGGCUCGGGUGAGCCCGCCCGUCGCCGGACCGAGGACUUGCCCGCCGGGGCGCGGGGAAGGGGCCGAGGCGCCUUAACGGUCCAGAGCUUGUCGGGUCUCUGCUGGCGGCGGCCGACCGGGUCAGGGUGCUCGCUGAAGAGAUGAAAGCAGUGGAAGUCUGUCAAUGGCCAGAGCAGGCACCAGCAUGACCACAAGAUGUCCCAAGAGCAUGGCAGCUCUCACCUUGGGGACUGUGGGGCCUGUUCCUACCAGAAUGCUUAACUCUACGAACAGUUCUUACAGAGUUGUAGUGUGUUUUGCUGAAAGUUCAGAAGCUCACAGAGAUAGCCUGAUGUGGUGAAAGCCUCUAAGCAUUAGAAGGGCAUGUAGGAAAAAGUUGCAAAGUACUGAUUGCCCAGCUGUCCUGCAACCUCCUUCAUUAGGAAAGAAUGUAACAGAAAUCUUCUGUGAAGUGAUGAAAUUCCUUCAAGUUCAUCACAAUGCCCUUGAAAAUACUAGAAUCAGAAAGGUUCAGGCAUUGAAAUGUGAAAAUCCGCUUGAGCAACAUGAAAAACACAGAUGCACUUAUUGCUUUACCAGUGCUGUUGACAGAAAAUGAACUAGUGAAAUCCAUCCCAGACCUUCAGCACCAUAGUCACUGGGGUUUUUUGCAAGGCUGAAGAGAAGGAUGGGCACUCUUUUUUAUGAACCUGCCAGACACUGGGAAGAGAAAUGUAUGUGUAAUCCACUGAAGAAUUGUUAUAACGAGCCUGAGACCAGUGGGAAUCUCUGCAGGACCACUCCAUAAGACGCAAACUGUUAAAAAGAUGAAAUGUUAAGGCUGCAUGUAGUAGCACAAGGAACUAUUGGGGCAGUAUCUGCUAAUGUUUAUGUAGACAAAAAAUAAAGAUUUAUGGUUUUGUUCUAAGAA